AUGAAUUGUGAGCGUCCAAUGAGAUGAAAGAACAAAGUGACACAAUAAAACAUAGAUCGAGUGACAUAAAGAACGAGUAAAGUUAAAGAACAAUGGUUGCUAGAGUUAGCAAAACAAAGUAAUGUGACACUAGAGUUAGUGUGUGUGGCAUUAAGAGAAAUGUGACGCAAGAAUAACGAUAAUGAUUAGAAUCAAGAAAAGGAAAUGAAAGUGGCAUAAAGAAUGUGUAAAGUAAAGAGUGAUGAUUGCUAGAGUUAGCAAAAUAAAGUGAU
rnacentral:lncRNA from 1 species